rnacentral:rRNA from 1 species
GAUCAUGGCUCAGGAUGAACGCUGGCGGCGUGCUUAACACAUGCAAGUCGAACGAAGCACUUUAUUACAAUUUCUUCGGAAUGACGAUUUAGUGACUGAGUGGCGAACGGGUGAGUAACGCGUGAGGAACCUGCCUCAAAGAGGGGGACAACAGUUGGAAACGACUGCUAAUACCGCAUAAGCCCACGGCUCGGCAUCGAGCAGAGGGAAGAGGAAUGAUCCGCUUUGAGAUGG